rnacentral:rRNA from 1 species
AGUGAACGCUGGCGGUAGGCCUAACACAUGCAAGUCGAACGGCAGCACAGUAAGAGCUUGCUCUUACGGGUGGCGAGUGGCGGACGGGUGAGGAAUACAUCGGAAUCUACUUUUUCGUGGGGGAUAACGUAGGGAAACUUACGCUAAUACCGCAUACGACCUACGGGUGAAAGCAGGGGAUCUUCGGACCUUGCGCGAUUGAAUGAGCCGAUGUCGGAUUAGCUAGUUGGCGGGGUAAAGGCCCACCAAGGCGACGAUCCGUAGCUGGUCUGAGAGGAUGAUCAGCCACACUGGAACUGAGACACGGUCCAGACUCCUACGGGAGGCAGCAGUGGGGAAUAGUGGACAAUGGGCGCAAGCCUGAUCCAGCCAUACUGCGUGGGUGAAGAAGGCCUUCGGGUUGUAAAGCCCUUUUGUUGGGAAAGAAAAGCAGCAGGUUAAUACCCCGCUGUUCUGACGGUACCCAAAGAAUAAGCACCGGCUAACUUCGUG